rnacentral:lncRNA from 1 species
UAGCUAGCUCGUCACUAGUGGUAGUUCUCUCUCUGGUAGCUAGCUUGUCGCUAAGGUUAGCUAGCUUGUCUCUAAUGGUAGUUAUCUCCCUGGUAACAUUAGUAUUUUAGCUAGCUUGUCACUGAUGUUAGCUAGCUCAUUGCUAAGGUUAGCUAGCUUGUCACUAAUGGUAGUCCUCUCCCUGGUAACAUUAGUAUUUUAGCUAGCUUGUCGCUGAUGUUAGCUAGCUCAUCGAUAAGGUUAGCUAGCUCGUCACUAAUGGUAGUCCUCUCACUGGUAACAUUAGUAUUUUAGCUAGCUUGUCGCUGAUGUUAGCUAGCUCAUCGCUAAGGUUAGCUAGCUUGUCACUAAUGGUAGUCCUCUCCCUGGUAACAUUAGUAUUUUAGCUAGCUUGUCACUAAAGUUAGCCAGCUUGUCACUAAUGGUAGUCCUCUCCCUGGUAACAUUAGUAUUAAAAAGUGCACAAGAAGCUUCUUAAAAAAACGCUGUUUACAUCCCAUUAGGCUAGCUUUAGCUCCAUGCGCCGCCAUCUUUGAACUGAUAAUAACAGACAUAUAUAUACAUAGACUCCAGGAAACCGUCUAUGCGGAGUCUAGUGCUAUGGGAUGUAAACAAUGGUUUUUAAUAAGCUUCUUGUGCACUUUUUAAGUUAUAAAUGUCUCGUUUUAAAUGUGAGGGCUUUCCAGAUUCUAGCAAGGAGGUGUGGAGCUAUUUUGAGCUGGAUAACGGUGUAAAAAGCAAUUUUUCAGGGCAAAUUAUGCCCCAUGUCACCCAGUCUGAAGGGUGUUUGGACAAACUGUUAACACUUCUGGAUGUCAGAACGCUGUGGGAGAACGGAGAUGUGCUAUUCAUCAAAGGUGUUCCAGUAAGGAUCCCCCAUCUUGCAGCACAUCCAAAGCUCCAAGAAUACUACAAGAACAGGAGUUAACAUGGCCGCCAUUUCCCAGAAACACCCCCAAGGACAACAACCAGCAUGGACCAAUAGGUACACUUAAGGAGUUCCUGCGUUUCAUGCCUUCAUUCUAAUUGGGCCUCUAAACUGCCUUGCAAAAUACAAGCAUCUGCCUUGCUACUUCUAACCAGGCCCCUUCAAAACUGAAAUUCUGGAUAUGCCACUAAUUCUGUACAGACUUGAAAGCAUUUCCUCUAGUGUUGCUCCAAACUACAGCACAUUUUGGCACCUUUUGUGGUGUAAUUUUGUGAUGAAU